CCCGUCAGGGACAGUUAGGUUUACUUGGUCUUGCAUCAGUGCAGGGGGCUGAACUACAUGACCUUUUGAGGUCCCUUCCAGCCCUACAUUUCUAUGA